rnacentral:rRNA from 1 species
ACUCAAAUGAAUUGACGGAGGCCCGCACAAGCGGUGGAGCAUGUGGUUUAAUUCGAUACAGCGCGCAAAACCUUACCAAAAUUUGCAUAUUAGACUAAGUCUUUUACUUUAUUGUUUUUGACAAGUUCUAUUACAGGUGUUGCAUGGCUGUCGUCAGCUCGUGUCGUGAGAUGUUUGGUUAGGUCCUGUAACGAGCGCAACCCUUAUUGUUAGUUGCUAAUUUUUUAAUAAAAGCACUCUAAUAUUACUGCCUGUGAUAAUCAGGAGGAAGGUGAGGAUGACGUCAAGUCUUUAUGACCCUUAUAUUUUGGGCUACACACGUGCUACAAUGUCUAUUACAAUGGGUAGCAAUGAUUUAAAUCGGUGCAAAUCCCUAAAAGUUGACUCAGUUCGGAUUGUUCUCUGCAACUCGAGAACAUGAAGUUGGAAUCGCUAGUAAUCGUGGAUCAGCACGCCACGGUGAAUAUGUACUCGGGCCUUGUACACACCGCCCGU